rnacentral:rRNA from 1 species
UACGAAGGGGGCUAGCGUUGCUCGGAAUGACUGGGCGUAAAGGGCGCGUAGGCGGAUGGCACAGUCAGAUGUGAAAUUCCCGGGCUUAACCUGGGGGCUGCAUUUGAUACGUGUGAUCUAGAGUGAGGAAGAGGGUCGUGGAAUUCCCAGUGUAGAGGUGAAAUUCGUAGAUAUUGGGAAGAACACCGGUGGCGAAGGCGGGUCUCUGGGCCGAUACUGACGCUGAGGAGCGAAAGCGUGGGGAGCAAACAGG